GACGAACGCUGGCGGCGUGCCUAAUACAUGCAAGUCGACCUUAGUGGCGAACGGGUGAGUAACCCGUGGGUAACAUGCCCAUCAGAAGGGGAUAACACUUGGAAACAGGUGAUAAUACCGUAUACUGAUGGAUGGACCCGCGGGGCAUUAGCUAGUUGGUGAGGUAACGGCUCACCAAGGCCACGAGCAAGCGCCGACAUGAUAGGUUUAUCGGACACAGUGGGACUGAGACACGGCCCAAACUCCUACGGGAGGCAGCAGGGGGGAAUAUGCGGCAAUGUACGCAAGUCUGACUGACCAACGCCGCGGGAGUGAAGAAGGUUUUCGGAUCGUAAAACUCUUGUGUCAGAGAAGCGGUACCUAACGCUGAAGCCACGGCUAACUACGUGCCAGCAGCCGCGGUAAUUC
rnacentral:rRNA from 1 species